AUUGAACGCUGGCGGCAGGCCUAACACAUGCAAGUCGAGCGGUAGCACAGAGAGCUUGCUCUCGGGUGACGAGCGGCGGACGGGUGAGUAAUGUCUGGGAAACUGCCUGAUGGAGGGGGAUAACUACUGGAAACGGUAGCUAAUACCGCAUAACGUCGCAAGACCAAAGUGGGGGACCUUCGGGCCUCAUGCCAUCAGAUGUGCCCAGAUGGGAUUAGCUAGUAGGUGGGGUAACGGCUCACCUAGGCGACGAUCCCUAGCUGGUCUGAGAGGAUGACCAGCCACACUGGAACUGAGACACGGUCCAGACUCCUACGGGAGGCAGCAGUGGGGAAUAUUGCACAAUGGGCGCAAGCCUGAUGCAGCCAUGCCGCGUGUGUGAAGAAGGCCUUCGGGUUGUAAAGCACUUUCAGCGGGGAGGAAGGCGGUGAGGUUAAUAACCUCAUCGAUUGACGUUACCCGCAGAAGAAGCACCGGCUAACUCCGUGCCAGCAGCCGCGGUAAUACGGAGGGUGCAAGCGUUAAUCGGAAUUACUGGGCGUAAAGCGCACGCAGGCGGUCUGUCAAGUCGGAUGUGAAAUCCCCGGGCUCAACCUGGGAACUGCAUUCGAAACUGGCAGGCUAGAGCCUUGUAGAGGGGGGUAGAAUUCCAGGUGUAGCGGUGAAAUGCGUAGAGAUCUGGAGGAAUACCGGUGGCGAAGGCGGCCCCCUGGACAAAGACUGACGCUCAGGUGCGAAAGCGUGGGGAGCAAACAGGAUUAGAUACCCUGGUAGUCCACGCCGUAAACGAUGUCGAUUUGGAGGUUGUGCCCUUGAGGCGUGGCUUCCGGAGCUAACGCGUUAAAUCGACCGCCUGGGGAGUACGGCCGCAAGGUUAAAACUCAAAUGAAUUGACGGGGGCCCGCACAAGCGGUGGAGCAUGUGGUUUAAUUCGAUGCAACGCGAAGAACCUUACCUGGUCUUGACAUCCACAGAACUUUCCAGAGAUGGAUUGGUGCCUUCGGGAACUGUGAGACAGGUGCUGCAUGGCUGUCGUCAGCUCGUGUUGUGAAAUGUUGGGUUAAGUCCCGCAACGAGCGCAACCCUUAUCCUUUGUUGCCAGCGGUCCGGCCGGGAACUCAAAGGAGACUGCCAGUGAUAAACUGGAGGAAGGUGGGGAUGACGUCAAGUCAUCAUGGCCCUUACGACCAGGGCUACACACGUGCUACAAUGGCAUAUACAAAGAGAAGCGACCUCGCGAGAGCAAGCGGACCUCAUAAAGUAUGUCGUAGUCCGGAUUGGAGUCUGCAACUCGACUCCAUGAAGUCGGAAUCGCUAGUAAUCGUAGAUCAGAAUGCUACGGUGAAUACGUUCCCGGGCCU
rnacentral:rRNA from 1 species